UUUAUUUGAUAGUACCUUACUACUUGGAUACCGUGGUAAUUCUAGAGCUAAUACAUGCUGAAAACCCCGACUUCGGGAGGGGUGUAUUUAUUAGAUAAAAAACCAACGCCCUUCGGGGCUUCUURGUGAUUCAUGAUAACUUCUCAGAUCGCAUGGCCUUGCRCCGGMGACGGUUCAUUCAAAUUUCUGCCCUAUCAACUUUCGAUGGUAAGGUAUUGGCUUACCAUGGUUUCAACGGGUAACGGGGAAUUAGGGUUCGAUUCCGGAGAGGGAGCCUGAGAAACGGCUACCACAUCCAAGGAAGGCAGCAGGCGCGCAAAUUACCCAAUCCCGACUCGGGGAGGUAGUGACAAUAAAUACUGAUACAGGGCUCUUUUGGGUCUUGUAAUUGGAAUGAGUACAAUUUAAACCUCUUAACGAGGAACAAUUGGAGGGCAAGUCUGGUGCCAGCAGCCGCGGUAAUUCCAGCUCCAAUAGCGUAUAUUAAAGUUGUUGCAGUUAAAAAGCUCGUAGUUGAACCUUUGGCCUGGCUGGUGGGUCCGCCUCACCGCGUGCACUCGUCCGGCCGGGCCUUCUCUUCUGGAGAACCUCAUGCCCUUCACUGGGUGUGCUGGGGACCAGGACUUUUACUUUGAAAAAAUUAGAGUGUUCAAAGCAGGCCUUUGCUCGAAUACGUUAGCAUGGAAUAAUAGAAUAGGACGUGCGGUCCUAUUUUGUUGGUUUCUAGGACCGCCGUAAUGAUUAAUAGGGACAGUCGGGGGCAUCAGUAUUCAAUUGUCAGAGGUGAAAUUYUUGGAUUUAUUGAAGACUAACUACUGCGAAAGCAUUUGCCAAGGAUGUUUUCAUUAAUCAGUGAACGAAAGUUAGGGGAUCGAAGACGAUCAGAUACCGUCGUAGUCUUAACCAUAAACUAUGCCGACUAGGGAUCGGGCGGUGUUUCUAUAUUGACCCGCUCGGCACCUUACGAGAAAUCAAAGUGUUUGGUC
rnacentral:rRNA from 1 species